CGCGUAGGCGGUGAAUUGGGUGUGGUGUGAAAGCCCCGGGCUUAACCUGGGAAGUGCAUCGCAAACUAAUUGACUGGAGUAGGUGAGAGGGUGGCGGAAUUUCCGGUGUAGCGGUGAAAUGCGUAGAGAUCGGAAGGAACGUCAAUGGCGAAGGCAGCCACCUGGCAUCAUACUGACGCUGAGGCGCGAGAGCGUGGGGAGCGAACA
rnacentral:rRNA from 1 species